GUUGCGAAAUUAAAUGAGUCAAGCCAUUCUUGUUUUAUAAGUCAAGUCAAGUGGAUUAGUCCACUUAUUGUGCACACCUAAGUUAAUACAUCUAUAAGUCUCUCUUAGUUCAUCAAUGGUAAUUUGUGCUUAAACUAUCGCGUAACCUCACGGUCUUUGCCCUAGUUCUGUUACAUUACGGACACGUUUCAGCUAAAUACAAGGCACAAUUUAUUGUAAAAGAACUUCCCAUGCCUACUUUUGGGUUAAUUUCUCAUGCGGUUUCCACGGCUAAGUAAGGUUAUUUUACAGACGUGACUAGAAGAUAGCUAAUGCUGCAAUUAAUUAGCGGUGCUUACCAUCGAAGCCCCCUAGAAGAAAUUAGGUGUAGCGGGAAGGAAGACGGUGAAAUACGGAGAAUAAGAAGGUUCCACCAUCUUGAAAGGGGGAGUAAUGUCGGGUUGAGCUGAAGAAAACGUGGCCGAUUCCCAAAUAUCAAACCCUAGGAAACGAAGAGAAGGUGCAAAUACGAAGAUGGUAAGAUUGCACGAGUACAUUGACAAACGAUAACCAGUAGGCUUUAGCACCGUAACGUUUAUCAACUAACGUAUUACUAGAAACUGUAAGGAACGUGAGUAAAUAACAAAUAAGACAAAGUAGUGAGCAAGCAAAACAUACCUCUUAAGGUGAAUAGCGAGUUGGAAGUGACGUCGAACCACGUGGCCUCUAAGUCGCAAUGCGAUAUUCAAAAAUCCUAUCACCCGAGCCGAAUAUCACUCUUAAAAUAUUUAAUGGAUUGACAUACAGGACACGACGGUUGUUAAUUUUAAAAUGAUAACACACAAGGAGAAAAUAUCUUAUCAGAAAGGUUAAAGAAGGAAUGCGAAAAGCAAAUCUAACUCAUAGGCAACCCAACGUACAUACAUCAGUGCGGAAUGAACAAAACCGCUAAGCUGCUGAACUGAUUCGCCAAAGUGAAACACUUAGCAAAAAAUAUGUGAAUCGUCGAUGCUACGUGAGUGCUGUAAUUGUAACAUCUUAAAAAUCAGAAACCACACAUGGUUGCGUAUAAUAGCCAAGGCAACCCGCUGACAAGGAGUGAUGGAGAUGUAAAUGUUUUCAAUGGUUGAAUAAACCACGAUUUCCGUUUUUCAAUGGUUAGAAUUGGGAUGCGUGUUGCAGUAUUGCGUGCACUUCCACAUGAUGCCGCCAUUAUAGAUUUCCCAUUCAAUGUUCGCAUUGAUAAGAAAGGUGUCGGAUGCCGCUCUAGCAACUGUCAUGUCCGAAGAAAGAGAGAAAGAGGAUCUAAAUAGUAAAUCCGACCCGCGCUUCAAAUUAUUGCAGUUCUACAUAGUCGCCAGAAACGGAUAUAAAUAAACCCCCGUACAGUAGUAUGCUGCAGAGCCACCGUUUACCUCGCAAAGGUUAAACGAUUCCGAGCUGUAGACAAUGGGCAUAAUAAAAUUUUCCGAAUGGGGUUUUCUCAUGAUACGUCGCGACAUCUAGACAGGAAAUGUUAAACGAUUAAACGCUUUAAUAAAAAUGUAUUCGGGAUCGAUUGGAUCUAAAAAAAUGUUAAAUGAGACGGCGUGUUAAUGAAAAGGUUUGCCCAAAACAUUAAAAGCCAAUGUAACAAAAGAAAUACUCAUAAAAUAUUUUGACAAUUGCAGCAGAAGAAUAUUGAUCACGUUACCGCUGCUAAGUCAUAAAUUAUGACGAAACCAACUUGGCCGACGAUCCAGGUAGAGUAAAAGCACUGUGUAAACGGUGGCACAAGAGGGUGGAGAGGAGUAUGGAUUCAAGUAAAUCCAGAAUAUGAGUGUAUCUGGAGUUUACCACCCUAUGUGGUGUAUAAAUCAGAUCAUCUGAACCUAAACGUGGACAGAAGAGGGACCCGAAGGAGCUAUUUACAACAAGACACAAUCCGAAUGGUUUGAGGGUCCUACGUUCGAGAACUGCUUUGCUGCAUAUUUAAAAAACUUGAGAGAGAAGACAGUUUUCUUUGGGGAUAAUUUGGCAAGCCACGUGUCCACACACAUGGAACGUUGUUUGAAACAUGACAUAGAUUUUGUUUUGCUACCCUCAAGUGCCACACACAUUUUAUAACCGUUGGACGGCGCGGUUUUUUCUCCAUUUAAGAGGGGUUAUCCGGAUUUCCCUACACUAGGUAUUUAAAAGAAGCCAUUGAAAAUAUUACAAAUUUAAAAAAUAACAUCAUUUCUUGAUUACGGACACAUGCGGAAUGUUUCCAAAAACCCAGAUAUAAUUCUACGGCAGAUUCGUCAGAAAACUAGGAGCGCUGGUUAAAAACCAAUUCAUUCAGGGAAGUAGAUUGGCUACAAAUUAGUACCAAGAGGCAAAAGGCUUCAAGUUGUUCUUGCUAAAGGAAUAAAUACCUUUGUCAAAUGCAUCUCUAAAAAGCAUUAUGCUGCAACUCUGUAAUUGGGCACAAUCCUGUUGAAGGGCCCAGAACAAGAGAGGGAUAAUAAAUAAAUAAAUAAGUAAAUAAAAAAAAAUUAAUAAAAAAUAAGUAAUUAAAUAAUUAAACAAAUAAAUAAAUAAAUGCUAAAUACUUAUACCAAUCUGAGGAUGACAGUGUUUAUGUCAGACUUUAGUGCCGAAGAUUUAGACGCUGAUGAAGUCGAAGAUACACAGGUUGCAACUAACGAGACUGAUACCGAAAAUAAAACUAAAAUUAAACAAACCGAGUUUAAUUUUCUGAUAGAAAAAGGAACGUUUGUAGUUUUCUUGUCCAAAUAAUAAUUUCAUAGUAGUAUUAGUAUUUUGUUAGGUGUGUUACAGUGUUACAAAUGUGAUCUUGGAAACUAAACAUACUUUUCCUGUGUUACUGUGUAAACUUAACACGCGUGUUACUUUACUUACUUUACUUAUUAAAAUUGCUAUAAAUAAUUCUUUUGGUAAAGAAGGCUGGAAAUUAAAUUGCUACCGAUUGAAAAUUUCAUAUUUACUUAUUGUACCAACAAUUCGCCAACUGAUAUGUAGUAAACAUUUUAUAAAAUCCUUCUCCAUAUUUUUGCACCAAUGUCAGGCGAUUCGACCCUUUACUCGGAUACUACCCACCAAUAGACAUUGCAUUUCCGCUGCGCCACUAUUAUAAUUAUCACGUGUGGAUGGACAAACUAAAUAAUAGAGAGAUUAACAAUUUCCCAGUUAAAAUAUCUGUACAAGCUUAAUGAACUCCCAUAUUGCACAACACUACGAAUUUGGGUCUUAUUCAGCCCGAAUAUGUGAACAUUUCAUGCAUUAACGUAACCAAUAUUACGGAAUGGAACAUGCCACGUCAAUCCAUUCGAUGCUAACAAGGUGUAACUGUAAAUUAACACCUAAUUGGGUACUUGAUUUCAAAAUGCGUUUCAAAAUACAGGCAACUAUGCGUAAAAGUUCACGAACGAUCGAGUUUGACUUAUACCUAAGGAUUAUAACAAAACGAACAUCGAAAUCAUCUCAAAAUUUUAAUAAUCGGAUCAGCUAAUGAGUUUACAUUAAAAUAUUGUCUAAACAGAGUAAUCCUUUAUAAGAGCAGACAGGUAAGUGACAAAAGGUGACGUGAUAAAUGAAUCGGAUUUAAUUCGACUCUUGAAUUUUAAUUGCAAGGUAACUGUUGGACAAUCUUAUUAGAUAAACACUUUAGAUAUUCUAAUUACAUAAUCUGUUUUCUAUAAGUGGUGAAACACCCUUUUGAAAACCUCGUUGUGUAUAUCAAUUAUGAUAAGUUACACAACCGAAUACCUUCCAAGGCUUUUACACUCAAUUAGAUUAAUUCUUCUGAUUAACAUUUUAGAAGUUUGAUGCUUAUGGGAUACAAUGAGGCUAUAGUGGUCGUGAUUAUGAAAUGACCCUCCAAAAGAUCAUUUAUAACAGAUGUCAAUUCCAAUAAAGUUCAUAUUGUGAAAAUAUGAUUGAUGUGUAUAUAUUACAUGAGCUGUGUUUAAUUUUCAUGGAAUAAUCAACAUUAUUUUGGGAAUCGUUACGUUAUUCAAAUAAGGAUGCCAAUUAUAUUAUGUAUUCGUAAUUCAGUAUCACAAAAAAGGUAUGCGUGAGGAAUAGGCUAAUAAACCGAAUUCAUUUACUAAACUUGUUGUUUUGGGACUACUACUACUACUUUAGUUAUAUAUUGGUAAGUAGUUCAAAUUUUUUUGCAUGUCAUGGAGGAAUAUCUGGUGCUUAAGAGUCCAAGUUUUCGACCUCCCAGCCCUUGUAAGUUGUGCUCCCCCGUACCA